rnacentral:rRNA from 1 species
UACGAAGGGGGCUAGCGUUGCUCGGAAUUACUGGGCGUAAAGGGUGCGUAGGCGGUCUGACAAGUCUGAUGUGAAAUCUAUGGGCUCAACCCAUAGUCUGCAUCGGAAACUGUCGGGCUGGAGUAUGGGAGAGGUGAGUGGAAUUCCGAGUGUAGAGGUGAAAUUCGUAGAUAUUCGGAAGAACACCAGUGGCGAAGGCGACUCGCUGGACAAGUAUUGACGCUGAGGUGCGAAAGCGUGGGGAGCAAACAGG